rnacentral:rRNA from 1 species
GUCAUGUUCCCCAUGUUCCAGGAGCUUGCACCACACGACCCACACGACAAGUGUGGUCACCACUAUGCGAUCUGUCUUGACCUGAAGAACCAACGCUUUGAGGUGCUUGAUUCAAUGCGUUCGACAGCUGAUGCAGACCUUACUUCGCAUGCUGAAUUCUUCAUCAACAACGUCAAAGAGAAAUGGAACCGUCACUACGAAAACUCAAAGGUUCAGAUCAGACAUUUCCCGAUUGAGUACGUUGCGACCACGAAUCAAGGGAACACGACGAACUGUGGCUUUCACACGUUGGAAUACUUUGCAAAGUGGGAAGGUAGACUUGUCCCCGCUGUCAUAGCUGCAACGGUCGUUGAGCUCCGGAAAAUUUACACAUGGAACUGGUUGACGAAUGAAGAUUUCAACAAGCGGUCCAGAGCACGCGAGUUCGUGGAGGAAGCUGUCAAG